rnacentral:rRNA from 1 species
AGAACGAACGCUGGCGGCAUGCCUAAUACAUGCAAGUCGAACGAACUCUUCGGAGUUAGUGGCGCACGGGUGCGUAACGCGUGGGAAUCUGCCCCUUGGUUCGGAAUAACAGUUGGAAACGACUGCUAAUACCGGAUGAUGACGAAAGUCCAAAGAUUUAUCGCCAAGGGAUGAGCCCGCGUAGGAUUAGCUAGUUGGUGAGGUAAAGGCUCACCAAGGCAACGAUCCUUAGCUGGUCUGAGAGGAUGAUCAGCCACACUGGGACUGAGACACGGCCCAGACUCCGUACGGGAGGCAGCAAGUAGGGAAUAUUGGACAAUGGGGACGAG